AAAGGUUUUUGUGAGAGACAACCUGGCUUCAGCGCAGAUAAGGGGCUGCUCAGGGCCAGGGCCGGGAGAGGCGCAGGGGAGGACGGGGCCUGUGCCACGCCGCCGGUGCUGGAGACAGAGCGGGAACAUUUGUCACCACCUGCAGAACUGCACACAGGAGAUGGUGCCUCCCAUCGUGAGCAACCUGCGUGCGAUGGUUUAAAAGGGGAAAGGGGCCGCUCCAGGCCUGGCCCUCCCCUCCUCUGUCGCCGUCUCUCCUCAUCGCUCCAGCCAUCUGCACCUCCGAGCUCCGUCCACGGAAGGACAGGCCCCACCCUGGAGUCUCGGGGUCCCGGUGACUCCCUCACUAAGAAGCUGAGCCGGACAGGCACCCUGCAGCCCCCACGGCGGAGCUCAGCUUCCACUCCAGGCACCACACCAGUCAUUCCCUGCAAGCCCCACCAGGACAGCACCCACACUGCACACGCCACGGCCAAGCCAGACAGCUGGGUGUACACCGGACACAUCACAGCACAGCCACCACAAACAGGCCGUGGGAGCUGCAUCUACACGGCAGACACCACCAACCCUACCCACACGCCUUCCUCCAGGCCCAGACAGCUGGGUGUACACCGGACACAUCACAGCACAGCCACCACAAACAGGCCGUGGGAGCUGCAUCUACACGGCAGACACCACCAACCCUACCCACACGCCUUCCUCCAGGCCCAGACAGCUGGGUGUACACCGGACACAUCACAGCACAGGCACCACAAACAGGCCCUGGGAGCUGCAUCUACACGGCAGACACCACCAACCCUACCCCACACGCCUUCCUCCAGGCCCAGCAGAGGGGGAAGCACCCUCCUGAGGGGGGAAGAGUCAUGGCCAGCAGACAGACAGAUGGACAGAUGGACAGACAGAAGAGCAGGCAGGCCAGGACCUCACCCGUGUGUCCUUCACAGGUCCGGGUGUCGGAGUCCAUGGAGUAUAGAGUCAGACCCGAGGGCACAGCCCCUCACCAGGCAGCGCCAGGUGCCUCCCCCCAGGCAGGGACGAGCCCACCCACGCCCUGGGUGGUGCUCAAGAUGGGGACCCAUUUCAUCUCUGGAAUAA
rnacentral:lncRNA from 13 species